GGGGAUGUAAUGGUUUCGACAUUACAUUAGAGGUAUGGAUUGCAAGUAGUGGAUGGUUGCUUUGGCCACUUAAAAAAAGCAAAAUUAAAUAUAAACGCUGAUAGAGAAGAAUUAGCAUUAGCUGCCUAAGUUGCAGCUUCGCUUUACUAAAUAUCCCCACAUAUUUAGAUAAAGUGUCAUAUUAGUGGGAAACGAAGCUACUUUUGCUUUUAAAGUAGUGGGUAUUCUAAAAAGCUAUAUUUUAUUAAAACCUGUUUGUUGGUGUUAGUAAAAUGAAAAUAAAAAACAAACUAAACUUGUAGAUAUCUGUAUGGAAGAUGUUAUGGACAGGAGUUCGACUCUCCUCAUCUCCACCA
rnacentral:tmRNA from 1 species